rnacentral:rRNA from 1 species
AUACGGAGGGUGCAAGCGUUAAUCGGAAUUACUGGGCGUAAAGCGUACGUAGGCGGUUCGUUAAGUUAGAUGUGAAAGCCCCGGGCUUAACCUGGGAACUGCAUUUAAAACUGGCGAACUAGAGUUGAGUAGAGGGGAGUGGAAUUUCAGGUGUAGCGGUGAAAUGCGUAGAGAUCUGAAGGAACACCAGUGGCGAAGGCGGCUCCCUGGACUCAAACUGACGCUGAGGUACGAAAGCGUGGGUAGCAAACGGAAUUAGAAACCCUUGUAGUCC